AUGAACGCUGGCGGCGUGUCUUAGGCAUGCAAGUCGAAUGGUGCCGCAAGGUAACCAUGGCAAACGGGUGCGUAACACAUUGGUCACCUACCCCGAGGUUCGGUAUAACCCCUCGAAAGAGGGGCUAAUCCCGGAUGUUCCCCGACACUUAUGGUGUCGUGGCAAAGGCGCAAGCCACCUUGGGAGGGGCCUAUGGUCCAUCAGGUAGUUGGUGAGGUAAUGGCUCACCAAGCCUACGACGGAUAGCGGGCGUGAGAGCGCGACCCGCCUCACUGGGACUGAGACACUGCCCAGACUCCUACGGGAGGCUGCAGUCAAGAAUCUUCCCCAAUGGCCGAAAGGCUGAGGGAGCGACGCCGCGUGCAGGAAGACGCCCUUCGGGGUGUAAACUGCUUUUCUUUGGGAAUAACACUGAAGGUACCAGAGGAACAAGGGGCUGCUAACUUCGU
rnacentral:rRNA from 1 species